UAGGGUUAAGUCACCUUUGGAUUCUUCUCUUCUCCCUCUCACGAUCUCACUCUCUAACAUUAGUGCCUCACUCUCUCAACUCUCAUCUCACCUCUCGAUCGAUAUCUCUCUCGGCUCUCAUGGUCUCUCUGCUACCGAUUCUUCACUCCCUUUGCUAUCACCGAUCCAAUUCUCUCUAUCAUCAUCGUUUUGUUUCGAAUUCAGUAACAAGAAACAUACAAACCUUGAAUGUUACCCUUUAUCCCAAACAAACCCUAAGCCCCAAUUCGUUAUUAUUUUUCGGUGAUUUCAAGAGUAUAUUUACAAGUGAAUCAAAGCAAUUGCAAGGAAAAUAGCAACGGGAAUGAAAAGCGGGACCUACAGAUGAUCUUCUUCAGCCCCUCUGCUUCAAGCUUCAGUGAAACAUUUGAAGUGGAUUGGGGUUUCUAAUGAGGACUGAGUUUAUGAGGGAUUGGGAGAUUCUGCAGAUUUUUCAGAUUUAGUCAAUGAACGCUAUAUUUGGAGGGUGGUUUUAUGGGUAGUUUGGCAGCAAUUUUGGUAUAGAUUCCUCCCUCCUCCUGCUUGUUGGUGCUUCUGUUUUUUUUAUAGGGGGAUUGGAAUGGUAGAAUACAAAAUUCAGGUAUAAAAUUUCUCUCUUUUUUUCUAGAUUUCGCCACUCAUUUUUUGCAAUUCCAUUUUUAGGUUUCCCCGAUUGAUUAAUAUCGAAAAAGAAAUUUCCCCCCUUUUUGUUGUUGUUGAUUGUUUCGUGAUUGACUAUGAUUUCAUACAUCUGGUAUAGUUGCACUUUAUGUUAAGAAGCUUAAAGAUGUAGGUAUUUGUACUGUUGAAUCUGUUGCUUAUACUCCCAGGAAGGAUCUUUUGCAAAUCAAAGGUAUCAGUGAAGCCAAGGUUGACAAGAUCAUUGAAGCAGUUUAUUGACAGCUUCUAAGCUAGUGCCUAUGGGUUUUACUACUGCUAGUGAGCUCCAUGCCCAGCGAGAAUCGAUUAUUCAGAUAACCACUGGGUCAAGAGAGCUUGACAAGAUAUUAGAAGCAUUGGUACAAGGAUGAGAAGUGGAGCACCAGGGAGAAGGAUAAAGACAGAUUCUUUCUUUUGAUUUGGUCAACAAGGCUGGGAAUCGAUGAAGAGCUCGUGGCUUUUCUUGGGAAAUGAUGUUGUACUAUAUUUGGAGUAUUAAAGAUGAAUCUGUUUUAUUUGGUUCUCAAGGAAAGAAGAGAAGCACCUUAAACUUUGAUGGAUCCUAUCCUAUGUAUGUUCUAUUGACAUACAAGUGUUCCUAGUUGUAGAAGAUCUAUUCAAGAAUGGAUGCUGAAGACAAUGGAGCAAUUCACUGAUGUUUAUUGGAUCAAAUUUUGUCUUUUCAGCAAUGCCAGGUUAUAAACCCUCUUUGGCCAUGAAGAGAUCUUUGAAAAGAAUCAAUUUAGGGAAGGUUGUACCCACUGGCUGUUUGAGACUGAACCGCAACUAUAUACUAUACCUUUGAACUCACUAGUC